rnacentral:rRNA from 1 species
UACAGGGGGGGCAAGCGUUGUUCGGAAUUACUGGGCGUAAAGGGCUCGUAGGUGGCCAACUAAGUCGGACGUGAAAUCCCUCAGCUUAACUGGGGAACUGCGUCCGAUACUGGAUGGCUUGAGUUUGGGAGAGGGAUGCGGAAUUCCAGGUGGUAGCGGUGAAAUGCGUAGAUAUCUGGAGGAACACCGGUGGCGAAGGCGGCAUCCUGGACCAACACUGACACUGAGGAGCGAAAGCCAGGGAGCAAACGGG